CAACUACUCCCUCUGUCCCAAAUUUCUUGUCUUAUAUUUGUCUAGAUACGGAUGUAUCUAAUACUAAAAUGUGACUUGAUACAUCCGUAUCUAGACAAAUAUAAGACAAGAAUUUUGGGACGGAGGGAGUACUUU
rnacentral:pre_miRNA from 1 species